rnacentral:rRNA from 1 species
CAGCAGCCGCGGGAAUAUGAAGGGGGCUAGCGUUGUUCGGAUUUACUGGGCGUAAAGCGCACGUAGGCGGAUUGUUAAGUCAGAGGUGAAAUCCUGGAGCUCAACUCCAGAACUGCCUUUGAUACUGGCAAUCUAGAGUCCGGAAGAGGUAAGUGGAACUCCUAGUGUAGAGGUGGGAUUCGUAGAUAUUAGGAAGAACACCAGUGGCGAAGGCGGCUCACUGGUCCAUUACUGACGCUGAGGUGCGAAAGCGUGGGGAGCAAACAGGAUUAGAUACCCCUGUAGUCCCUGUCUCUUAUAA